UAAGAAAAAAUUCUGCAUUAAUUAACUGAAAUGUUCUUUGCGAAAUGAUUAAUCAGUUAAAAGCAGAAUUAAUUUCCUCCCGUCAUGAAUAAUAAUAAAUAAUAAAUUAAAUUCAUGGCUCCAUCCCUGUUCUCUCUCUUUUUCUCUCUGUAAUUAGUUUCUCAUCAUCUGCAACUUCCUGAUCGGCGUGCUCGCCGUCAAAUUCACCUGCGUGUCCGUCGAUCCUUUAAGCAAAUCAACCUCCAAAGCGGCAAACGCCUUCUGGAUCUUCUCUGUAAUCACCAUUACUCUUCCGAUCACCGUCACUAAAUACUUAAAGUUAUGCACCUUUGCCCCUUCAAACCCGGUCGCCUUCGCGAAUGCGGCGUCGUAUUGCUUUUCCAGAGCUUCCAGCCCUUCGUUAGACUUGAUCUUCUGCAUCUUGUCGAUCGCCGUUGUCAACGCCUUGUCAUACUCCUUCGCUUCCACCGAAGCGCUGCGAUCGAACUCGCGGAUAAUGUCCAUCAGUCUCAGCCAGAACUCUGGUAUUUGAAGCCCCGUGCUUAGCUCGUUCACCAGCUUGUCGAUUCUCACCACGAACUCUGUGUAGUAGACGAUGCCAGAGGCUUCCUUUUGAGAUAAUGGUCCGAGAACGACGGUGGCUCCGACAUCGACGGCUGCUUCCGCCGCCAACAGGUAAGUUGCAGAGAUGGCGAGGAGCAAGAGGGAUAUCCUCGCCAUGAUAUUUUCAAAAAUUAUAUUUCUAAAUAAAUUUUUUUAAAAAAGACAGAGAGGAGUGAGUUUACUUACGAGUUCUUGCGAUAUAUAUAGAUACAUAUACACCUCUAUACAAUGUCAAUAAUAGAUUUGGUUAGGGAGAUUUUAGCGGUUUUCCAUUGAAUUUAAUGAAAUUGGAAAAUAUUAACGAGUUUUCGCUUUACAUUGAAGUUACAAGCCAUUUUAAUACCUCCAAGUACUCACCUCAUAUUAUGAACAAAGUCUUAAUCCAACCCCCACAGUUCAUUCCUUUCCAAAUUAAGAUUACAUUUCUAAGAAUUUCGGUGUUUUUUAUUAUUAUUGAUUACAAUUUAUUAGUAUAAAUACAAUUUAGUUAUUGAAAAUGUAUUAAUAUUCACUUAUUUAUUUGAGAAAUAGAAUCCGUUAUCCUAUCAUAGGACCAUAAUCUGUUAUUAAGUAUCACUUAAUAUGGUAUACAAGUGCAAUAUAAUUAUUAAACAUGAUUUAUUUGAUCAUAAUAUAAAAUUAAUUAGAUUGGUUUAUCAACAUAUAUACCAUAUCAAGUGAUAUUCAACUGGAGCAUCUCUGAAAAAUUCGUAUCAUAAUUUAUCAACUCCUACGCAGAGUAGUUGGCUGAGAAGCUCGGAGUCUGCAUGGAUUGAUCCAGCUUCUAUACACAGUAGCAAACACAGAAGUUCGAUAUCUGGGGUCGAUGAGAAACCAAAGCCAUCAAAAAGAAAACACGUCAGUGAACACUCUGAAUUCAUGAGCCGGUCAGCAUUAGAAUCAGGGUGAGGUCACAGUUCUGCUAGCUUCUCAGGUGGAUUCUCGGGAUGAGCCCAUGGUUCAACUGUUACGUUUUCAGGCUCCUCAUAGCCAGACCACAAAGGGAAGUUGAAAAAGGAGAGGAAACCGAGGUUGUAGAAAAGAGACUGAGAAAACAGUUCCGGCUCUUUAUGAUUCACGAAGGUUAAAUCACAUCCUUUCUCCUCUUUCCAGCUUGUGUUUGAACUUGAGAAGAAAUAGAGUUAAUGAUUUUUACAUUUGAUACUUAUGGCUAAAUGACUUUAUCAUCUAUAUUUUGUUAUUUCAUUCCGAUUUUCUGUUUCUUGUCGUUUCUUUUCAGUAGCAUAUUGGUUCUUGUGAAAUGUUAUAUCAGGAUAUGUUUUGAUGCUGUCUGGGAAUGCUUGGGAUGCUUUUCCUUUAGGUCUCAGAUAAUUUAGUGGUGGAAUUGGGUUCGUGUUCCGAUGGUUAAUUUUAUAUGGGUUUUUUAACUUGUGGAUCAAUGUAUUUCAACUUUGAAAAAAAUGAUUACUUGAACCUGUUUGUGAAAAUUCCAUAAAAGGAAAUGGAUGUUUUCAGUUUUUGUGUUGCCUCUGCUUUCAGUUUUUCCUUUGAAGUCUACUCAUUUUACGGCUUAUACUUGGCUGUAUCUAUUGUUCUCUGAGUUGAUCAUGGUGUUUAAAUCAAAGGGAGUGGAGAGUCAUAAAUUAUGCUCAUAUUUUCGCAAUUUACUUCUUCGAUUUAGGUUGAGUAAAGAGAGCAUAUUUCAAGCUUAUACAUGGUAGUAAUGGUUGUUUGUCAUGGCUUAAUGUACUUUAUCUUAGAUGAUAGGUGAUAGCAACUGUUGCAAAUUACACUUUUAAUAAAAUGUCUUAGGUCAAUGUAAUUUUCCUUCUGUAUUUUAAUUAUUACGGGGUCAAUGCUAACCAUUAAUUUGCUGUAACUUCCAUUUUUCCGUUUUCUUUUUUCUUUUUUAUUAUUUUAACUCCCCCGCCCUGUAGUUUAAUAUAUUGAUUGGUAUAUUGAAUUAUGUAAAAAUCAAAAUAUCACACACUUCAUAUAGAUUAGGAUACGAAUGAUGCAUGCAAUUUAGAGCUCUAACUAACUAGUCUGCAUUAGCGAUUGGACGCCUCACACGUUUUUGUCUUGCAUUAUUUUAGACAUCAAAUUCUUGAUUUAGACGAAACAUUGUUCUUUAUAACCCGAUUCCAUUUUUAACAAGAUCAGUAGUGACUUUCUAAAAUUUAAUUACUUUGAUAUUUUUUGUUUUCGUUUUGGCAAGUCUAUAUAUAGCCAAACUGACUUCACUUUUCGUAUGCUUAUGAUGUUAAAGUACGCGCUUUCUUCGUUACGUCUCCUUUAUCUGAUGUUAUAAGCAGAAUAUUUUGUUUUUAGGUUGCUUGUUCUUUGUUCUCCUCUAUUCUAGGAAAAAAAGAGCAUUUUUCCCAAAAACAAUGAGGAAGAGAAUUGAUAUGCAAGGUCUACUGCAAAAGGAAUAUGAGACGAUUACAGUGGUAGUCGUUAUUGUCCCUUGGAGGUUCACCCACUUGUUUUCAAGUAUUCCAGUGUUUUCAAUUAUGUCAUUUCAAUUUGAAAACUCAUUUCAAGAUUCUACGUGCACUAUAGAAGAGUCAAUCAUAGACAUUUUUUAGUAUAAGAUGUAAUUAGUUGACACAAUUAGAGUAUGGUGAGUUAUUGUAAGUAUUAUGUCAGGUGUAAGGUUAUUGUAAAUUGGUGUAAUUAAAAUUUUAUGGUAUAAAAUAUGUAAUUUAAUUAAUGCUACUCUUCUAAUAUUUCUACACAUUGCAAGUAAUGAAAUAUAUUCUUUUUUUUUUAUUUAUAGGAAAGUAUGAUCUCUCUUUCUUUUCCCAUAAUAGCGGAAACAAAUAAUUAUAAUUCCGCUAGAGAAAGAGAAAAAUCCUGACAAAGCUAGAGAGUAGCCUCUUAUGGGAACCUCUUCUAUCCUGAUAAUAACUAUCAAGGCCUGAUUAAAUAGCAUAUUUGGCUACAAAAUCAGCUAACCGAUUACAUUAUUUAUAAGAAAACUAGAAAAGAAAAAGAAGUGAUCUUUAAGCAACUCAAUCGCCAUCCGGCGUGGUAUGUGAUCAUCUGGUACUUAAAACUUGAUUUCAUUGCUCCCAUACAUGUUCAUCUUCAUCUUCCUUGACAUAGAUGCUGCCAGCUUUUCUUUGUACAUUGCAGCGAUGGCCGUUUGCACGUUACUACCUGAACUCAUAAUCUUUUGAAGGGCUUGUAUUACUUGCGAAAAUUGACACUCUUUUGCCUUAUUUUGGUCUCCCACCUUCACAAUUGCGGCAUCAUAUCUAUUUCCCAUAGCUUGUAAAGAUGAUGUGUUCUUUGUCUUCAUGGCGAUCUCAGCAGCUUUGGUCAAUUCGUUAAAGAAUACAUCUCCUUCUUGUGGUGUUUUGUUAUCGUAUUCUUUUUGCAAGGCCAUGCAUUUCUGGUAAAAUAUGGGAAAUGAAGUUGAGCCCUUGUUGAACUCAUCUAUUAAAUACCCCAACUUCACGAAGAACUCUCCAGUGAAGAGCAUGCCCUUAGCUUCUGCGGCGCCCACGUCAACAUUUGGCAUUCCCUGAUGACCAAAUUGGUAGUUGUAAUUAAAUCCAUCCGAGUUACCAGUGGAGAUAUAUCCAUGGGCAUUCAUGUUUGAUUCUCCAUUUGCAUUUGCAUUGCCUUGUCCAUUAGCAUUUGUGUCAGCUUGUGUAUUAGUAGCAAUGUAUCCAUUACUAUUCGCGUUUGCUUGUCCAUUGGCACCUGUGUUUACUUGUUUAUAUGUGGAAAUGUAUCCACCUGCAUUCAUGUUUACUUGUCCCUUGCCUUUCGUGUUUGCUUGUCCAUUGGCAUCUGUAUUUACUUGUUCAUCGGUAUUGGUGUGGACGUUUGAUUGUUUAUCUACGGCAACAGAACCAGAUGCAUCCUUCUUUGUAUCUUGUUCUUUAGUACCAGAUUCAUUGGUGUUCUUGCUCGAUUGUUGAUUUUUUGUGGCGGAUUCAUUGGUGUUCUUGCUCGAUUGUUGAUUUUUUGUGGCAGAUUCAUUGUUAUUCUGUUCGGUUUGUUGAUCCUUUAUCACAGACUCAUUGCUGCUUUUGCUCGUCUGUUGAUUAUUCGUGGCAGAUUCGUUGGAACUCUUACUUGCUUGUUGAUCUUUUGUGACAGAUACAUUCACGUUCUUGCUUGAUUGUUGAUCUUUCGAGACAGAGCCUUUACUGUUCUGGCUAGCGUGCUGAUUUUUCGUCACAGAUUCAUUGCUACUCUGACUUGUCUGUUGAUUUUUCGUGGCGGAUUCGUUACCGCUCUUCUUCCUUUGUUGAUCUGUUGUGGCAGAUCCAUCAGUCUUCGUGUUUGAUUGUUGAUUUGUUGUGAACGAUCCUCCUAUCGAUCCAGACACACUCGUCUUUGCAUCAUGCCCUCCCGCACCAGACUCGCUACAAGUGCAAACGCACUUCUUUCCGUUAUAAUCUAUAUUGAUAUGUGCAUCUGCGAGGAACCCGAAAGAGAUAAAAAGAAUAAAAUACAGUAAUAAAGAGUUCCUCGCCAUUAUUAUUGUUAUUAUUUUAUUUUGUGUAUAACUAUGAAUCGGAAAGGAAAGAGAUGAGUGGAUUCUUGGAGAUGAGUUCUUGGGAUUAUAUACUUCAUUAGCAAUGUCUAAUAAUAGACUAUUACGAAAGGAGUUCGUGUUGAGUAAGUUAAUUGGAGUGAAGUUUUUACGGGUUUUCGUUCAAUAAAAAUAGCUAGUUAAAUUAAGAAG
rnacentral:lncRNA from 1 species